ACCUCUGUGGUGUAGUGGUAUCACGCGUUGCUGGCAUGGAUAAAACGCAGGUUCGACUCCCGUUUGAAGUC